rnacentral:lncRNA from 1 species
AUGCAGAUUUUUGGGAAAUGGUCCUUGCUAGCCAUGAGUAAUAACCGACCAGGUAAAAUCCAUUUAAUUAAUAUUUAUUUCAUUCAGUCUGGUCUUGUUCUCAUGUUUGUCUUGUCCUGUUUGGUUUGUGUCCCAUUAACAUUCAUUAUAUAUCUUGAUACUCUAUGUGUAUCAUUAUAUUUACCAGGUCUAAGGACUUUCAAUGAGCUCUUCACUGAAAAUAUCUGGUGGGAAUUCUUGCCCGGGGAACUCCACAACAAAAUCAAUGCCAACAGUUAUGCCAAAAUUGUAGAAUGUGGUCGGUACAACGCCACUCUAACUGUGGAAGGCAACCAGCUGAGCUGGACGUACAUUCCAUCACUGUCUUCCACUGCUGUGUUGCUGCCUACCUGUCCGGACUGUCUGGUGACCCUGAUAACCAGCACCAUCAAUGGAAACGUCUACACUGCUCUGAGAAUCUUCAGUAAGAGACGGGUGCUCACCGAUGCUGAACUGCUUCAUUUUGAUACACAAAUUGAAUGUCUCAAACUGCCACCUCGAUACACGGUCAGCACUGAAGAAGAGCUCUGUCCAGACACCUCUAAACCAUUUCCAGACAUGGAUGACUUGCAGAAGUCUGUAAUGGAAUUCAUGGAGAUAGAUGCAGUCAAGAAUAUAUUGAGAAAAACAGACCAUUUCUUUGAGAAGAACAGCGCAGCUGUGAUAAACUUUAUUGAACGUUUAGGUGAAUUACUUGAUAAACUGUCAGACUGGAUCAUUUCUUUCCUGUAGGUUUCAAACCAACCCUAAAAUUACUUACCUGAUUCAGCUAGCCAAUGUCUUUAUGACCUGCCAGUGUGUACAAUCAGGUGUGUUCAAUUGCAUGUCAUCUUUAAGAACCAUUUUAUCUUUGAAUCUGGCCACAAACGAUUCUACUAAUAUAAAAUUAAAGGCAUUAUACCAACCCAGUCUCUUCUGUUUGUUGCCUUUAAAAGGAUUGCAAGACUUGUAAGACUGAAAGUGUGUAUCUUGUUGCCAGAAGCUAAACAAGCACUUCAUUGGACAAGCAUUCCAUUUGUCCCUAAAAUUAAUUAUUUCUACGUACUGUUUGUCAAAUGUAGACAGAUUAUUGGGUCUUCCACUGCAUGACAUUUAAAAGAUAUAACUUUUGGCAAGUUAAUAGUAAUACUAUCUACUGUAUAGAACAAAAUAAAGUGCAACCAAAAGACACUUC